GGGGGGGCGGAGGGGUCGCCAUGCCGGCCGCUCCACUCGGCGGCGCGGCACCAGAGGCGGCGUGAAAUCGCAUUGAGGCCGUCCCGUCAGCCUUUAGUACAGUCUGCUCAGCUUGAAGUUUUGCUGUUCAUCUUAACCAGAAAAGUACCAAAACAAGGCUCAUAGCUUGCCAUUCUUGUCUGCAAUAUGUAAUACAUCUGCGGAACUAGCACCUCAUACCUCGGGCAGUUUCCCUGUGCAGGUGCCUUCAUCCAGCAGGAGGAGCUGCGGGAGCAGCAAAGGCUCAAGCUGCAGCUCUUGGAAUGGACCUGAGAUGGAAGAGCACCCUUCUCCAGGGCCAGGGUCAGAUUUCUGCACUCUAGGACAAUCUUCUGACAGUCAUCUGACAAUCAUCAUGCAAUCAUCUGUGCAGUCAUCUGUGCACUGUCUAAGUCCAUAGAGGAUUACUGAUCCCCAGCUGGAUCCUGACCCUCCAUGAAGUCGGAGCUGAGCAGCACUAGUCUCUGUUUAUGUGCCUGCCACCUGCCAGGACUCAGACAGCGAACUGGAGCCAUCAGGCAUUGCAGACUGAGAUGGAUGCUGGGAUGCUAAUAGCCCAGGGACCACCAGGGCAUGCAGCCAGAUUUCUUUAAAGAAAACUUAUGGUUUUUGCUGGACUUAUGUUUAACUGCUUGAAAUCUUGACUGUAUUAAAGUACAGCUUUAGUUAAAGCCUAGGCGGUUUCAAUUCACUUUUUCCUCCAUUUUGUUAAUCCUAUUAUUAGGGGCAACAGACAUUUUUAGAAACAAAAAGUCAAGAAGACGCACAGAAUUGAGUUAUUUAGUUUUGCUUGCUUUCCUCAGUUGAAUGUCUCAGAUACAUUAUUAACAGAUCAGCAAAAGCCUCAUUCUUUCUUAGGUUAAUGAGCAAUAAUCAUAGAUUACUCUACACUUGUGGAAAAGUUCUAAUUGCAAGAAUCCUGUGCUGCUGCAGUAAUAGCCAGGUGCCCAACACCCUCAGGCUGUGUCACUUACUAGGCUGCCGAGUC